CUUUCACGGGGUUAUGCUGGACAAACGGAAGCGUCACAACUAUUUCUGAUGUUCACCUUCAAAACCUCCCAGUGCUCGAUUCCAAAUCAAUUCUCAGUAUUCCAUACUCAUGGACAUUACUGUUUGUCCAAAUCUAACAUGGAUCUUUCUACAACGGUUUAUGAGGGUGUGAUAUAUUUCUAUAUAGUGGAGGACAAGACAUUGCAAGCGAACAUGUGUCAAGUAUUUAAGAUUAGGCACACAUAUAUUCUU